ACGUUNNCCUGCGGUCGACGAUUCCUACGGGAGGCAGCAGGAGGGAAUAUUGCGCAAUGGGCGAAAGCCUGACGCAGCAACGCCGCGUGAGGGAUGACGGCCUUCGGGUUGUAAACCUCUUUCAGUGGGGACGAAAUUGACGGUACCCACAGAAGAAGCACCGGCCAACUACGUGCCAGCAGCCGCGGUAAUACGUAGGGUGCAAGCAUUGUCCGGAUUUAUUGGGCGUAAAGAGCUCGUAGGCGGCUUAACAAGUCGGUCGUGAAAUACCGAGGCUCAACCUCGGGGAGUCGGUCGAAACUGUUAUGGCUAGAGUACGGUAGAGGAGAGUGGAAUUCCCGGUGUAGCGGUGGAAUGCGCAGAUAUCGGGAGGAACACCAGUAGCGAAGGCGGCUCUCUGGGCCGUUACUGACGCUGAGGAGCGAAAGCGUGGGGAGCAAACAGGAUUAGAUACCCUGGUAGUCCACGCUGUAAACGUUGGGAACUAGGUGUUGCGGUCUGAUCAAUGACUGCGGUGCCGAAGCUAACGCAUUAAGUUCCCCGCCUGGGGAGUACGGCCGCAAGGCUAAAACUCAAAGGAAUUGACGG
rnacentral:rRNA from 1 species